UUGCACGCUGGCGGCAUGCUUUACCCCUGCAAGUCGCACGGUAACAGGCCGCAAGGUGCUGACGAGUGGCGAACGGGUGAGUAGUGCAUCGGAACGUGCCCAGUCGUGGGGGAUAACUACUCGAAAGAGUAGCUAAUACCGCAUACGAUCUAUGGAUGAAAGCGGGGGACCGUAAGGCCUCGCGCGAUUGGAGCGGCCGAUGUCAGAUUAGGUAGUUGGUGGGGUAAAGGCUCACCAAGCCAACGAUCUGUAGCUGGUCUGAGAGGACGACCAGCCACACUGGGACUGAGACACGGCCCAGACUCCUACGGGAGGCAGCAGUGGGGAAUUUUGGACAAUGGGCGCAAGCCUGAUCCAGCAAUGCCGCGUGCAGGAAGAAGGCCUUCGGGUUGUAAACUGCUUUUGUACGGAACGAAACGGCUCUGGUUAAUACCCGGGGCUAAUGACGGUACCGUAAGAAUAAGCACCGGCUAACUACGUG
rnacentral:rRNA from 1 species